UGCGAUUUGUGAUGACAAUAGAGCCAAUUCGUGCUGAAAUAGGGCCAUUUUCCUAAGGGGUCCUGGCCUUUUCAUGAUAUACCUGUUUCUAAGGUGGUGAUCAAAUACAUGAUAUCCCAAGCCCACAUGCCUUUUGAGAAGAGAUAGAAGAUGUGAACUCAAACAGCCAAUUUUCUCUACUUGCAAUCUAUAAGAAUUUUCAUCCAAGGACAAAGCAGCUGCAGAUGCCCACCCCCAGACGUGUCUGAAUCAU